GUUUGAGUCAGCUACAGAGGCAUCAGCCAUUCUGUGCAGCAGCAAAUAGAGUGUGCUCGAGUCCUUCAGAGACAGUAAAAAAAGGGUACAAAGGAAAAUAGGGGGAGACAACAAAGUCUAAAGCCAUAAUGAAAGAGCAAACUGCAAACGAGACCCUCCGGCAGAGCGACGGGGCUGCGGUCCCAGGGGCAGACGCACAUGCUCGCGUGACAACUGAGGCCAUUAAAGUAAAGAGUGCCAAUUUGAAGGACAUCGAAGGACUUGGAUGAUUUCUGCUUGGACUUGAAAGCGAGAAAAAGCCCAACAAAGCAUGGCAAGCCAACAGCAAAUACAGAGCAGGCAUUUUAAUGGGUGGAAAGGUAGCCUUCAUUUCUGAGCUCAUAAAUUUUGGGGAGAGCAUGUUAAACAUAAGUUCACUUUGUCUCUUGCUUGAGGCUUUUUUGUUUCCUGUGGGAGUAACAGAAGAAAGUAUGGUCUGACAAGUAUGUAUUUUGAAGCAUUGCUGUAGAUCUGUAGAUACAGACUGUGGACUAUCUGCUAGCAUUUGGCUCUGUGAAAAGAGUACAACUCAUGGCUGGUUAGACUGAGCUGCAAAUGUGGGAUGAUCGCUGUGAAGAGAGGACUUUGGAACACUGAUUUGCAUAUCCUAUGGCUGUAGUAGCUCAUUCUGUGGUCAAAAGACACUGAGGAAAGAAAGAAGGUAACUGUUGUUAAGCUAGAUACCUUUGAUUCGAUGCGUGUUUUGGCCAGAGUAUUGCAGAGCCACAGAUAGACCUUGAAUUUGGAGCUUCUUUAGCCAAGGUCCUCUGUGUGGUCCUGUUAACACUGGCUACAAGAUGCUCUAGCAAACCAUUACUUGUGGGGCUUCAGUGCUUGGCUGAGCAGAGGAUCCCUGUUUUCCCCCAAAGGAUGGAAAGUGCCUUGGUUUACUAACAUUCAGAGCCUGACUACACCUGUCUGGUGCACUUCUCAUUGAUAGGAGCAAACUGGACUUUAGUAGAAUGAGUGAACAGAGCUCUGGAAUUCUUUACACAGCCACUAGGCCAGUGAUGAGGUGAUAGAAUUUUGGUAGAUGAGGGAUGAUAACAGUGAUCUCAUGGGAACCUGGAAAAGCU
rnacentral:lncRNA from 1 species